GGUCUCUACCCAUUCUUCCCACCGAGAAUCGUAUCCUCGAUCUUGGAGCAAUCAUGAGGCAGUAACAUACCAAGACAAUGAAGCAUGUGAGCACGAUCGAUGGUGAAGCUGACAAAGCAACUAAUUACCACUCACAAACCACGUCGCAUUUUUGCAUAUGCUGAUUGGCUGCUUCUGAUCCCUUCCACUUCGAACAGUGAGCAGAGCUCGCAACUCCGACCCACAAGCUUUGCCUGCUUUCGAGGAUGCAUGGCGCGCCCCAGGAAGCAAAAGAAUGUUCUGCCACAGGCACACUGGGAGUCUGGGACGAUUCUGAUUGUUGACAAGUAUAAAAGUGAAUUAGCCAUAAGUGCACCCUUUUUUUUAUUCCAUCGACUUAAGCUACAUGCAAUUCAA
rnacentral:misc_RNA from 1 species